UGUCUUAUAUUCACUAAAUGAUGUUAGAAUGCAAUUCUAAAGGAGUAGAAUUAAAAUUACUACUAAGGCUU
rnacentral:tRNA from 1 species